rnacentral:rRNA from 1 species
AUGUGUCCCCCGAGCGCCUGGCCCGUCUCGAACCCCAUGCCGCAGAUGCUGCACUCGUGCCGCUUGUUCUCCCGUCUUCUCCGCUCUCUGAUAUCCCUGGCGAUGCGGACGCCGAGCUCCAGCUCGUGGCGGCCCCGAAGGUGGCUCGUCCGGUGCCCGCCGAGCGCCUGGAACGACGCGAAGGCACGGCCGCACGUCUUGCACACAAACUCCCCCUCACCCGACGUCGCCACCACGGCGCCGCUCGUGCGUCGCCGUGCUUUCUUGGCGGGUGACCUGGUUGUGUCCGUCGAAGUCGUGGACGACGUCGAUGAGUCCGUGGUCAGUUCCAGCGCCAGUGACAAUACCUCCUCGUCCCUCGCGCGCUUCAUCCCCGCUCCCAUGGAGUUUGAUCCUCCGAUUUCCUGUCCUUCGUAG